GCCGGCAAUUGACCCGCUUAGCCACGCGCUCGAUCGACGUAGUUAUUAGCCAAGAAACUGGACAAGGGGGGGCCUAUGAAUUUGCAUUAUAAAUGUACAAUAUUAUUAUUAGGUUUUUUAAUUUUUCUCGCUUCGCUUUCCAUGCACAAAUUCAAUUAACUGAAAUCUUUCUGGUUACACUUUCUUUGGGUUAAGUGGCAUAUCGAGUAUUUCUGUGGCGUGCAAAUCACUUAUGCAAAUGCUCAAAAAACAGUUUUGGGCAUAUUUAAUGUUCGACGGCUACUGAUUUUCGCUAAGCGAACAAUACUUCGUGAUUGAGUCUGCAAAAUGGGUAGGAGGAAAAUGGGCAGAGGGGGCUCCAAAAACUGGAUUUCUACCACUGACAUGAGUCACUUAACAAUAUCGUGAAGCCAAGAAUAAAGCAAAAACUCUAACAAUGUUGAAUUGGCCAUAAAACAUGAGAAGAAUUUGUUUAUUUUCAUAAGAAUUUCUGUGUUACCUGUGUUACUUAUUUCUAGGUUCGUUUAUAAAGUUUUAGAUAAUUAUUUUCACUUUAUGUUAAGCGUGGUAUUGUAGGUUAUAAUUUUUUUAGUUUAAUAAUUUUUUUAAUCUACUGUUUUUUAAACGACAUGCAAUGUGUGGUUAAUAGUCUAUAUAGAAAACUAAAUUUUUUGGGUUUAAAGAUAUAAAUUUCUUAUUUUAAUCUUCCGGUACUUUAAAUUCUAGCUGCAUUUUAUUAGUUACUGUCUCCCAACUUAUUCAGUCGUAUGCAAAUCCGGUAGGCAAACUUGGUAAGCUUUUCAGAACCCAAAACUAAGAGCAGACGCUGGGCAAAAUCCAUCUUAAUCCCCGCAACUAAAAAAAUAGAGAAAACUGUGGGAAAUAGAGAAUAAAAGUGCCAACAAAUAGUUUGCAAAACGUUGUCUAGACGUGCAAUUUUGGUCCUGACACCGGGAACCUCCUCUGCUGUCGAGGCGAAUUUUCCGCUUACACACACACAUAUAAACACACCUACAAGCAGACGCACACCACCGUACGUUUUGAGGGUGUGCCGGCUGCUGUCUGAUGAAAGAAAACUACCCCCAAAACGCGGAAGGCAUAUACAAUCCAUCGAUAUCCGAGUAUCCGAAUUGAAUUGAAAUCAGCAAAAACUAAAUCGGGCUUAGGAGGCGGACAGAAAAAGCAGCUGAGGCUAGCUAAAAAAUUUGCUUUUAUUAUACUUUUUCGUGCAUUUUAAAAUCCCUGCUCAGGCAGGUAAGCUUAAGCUUUAGCGGGGCGUGUCAACGCCCUGGCCUAAACGGGGGAAAAAACAGUCAGAAAAACAGCUGUGAGGCGGAGAAUCAUAGACAAGCGGAAAAAACAAAAUAAUAAUAAUGUGGAGACCCGGUACUUGGAACUCGAUGGAUCGAAGCGGAAUGUGGGGCCUCCGAAACAGAACACAAACUACGAAGAAAAUAAAAACAACAAGAAAGCCACGAUAUAUCCGAGAAAUAUAUAUAUUGCUGCUUUGAGGCGCACGCUGCUGGCCGUGCUCAUAUGGCAGCAAUUUACAUAAAACCCGCAAAACCAGUUUUUUUUUAUAAAGUUUCAAGUUCCAGCUUGGUUGGUAGAGGAACAGAGACGGCACAAUGCAGAAGUAGAAAGAGACAGACUUUAUAAGCGCGCGUUCUUAAAACAUUUGCCUGCACUUUGGCUUAUGGAAAGCAAUUUGUAAAAUUCUCACUGCUCGACCGUUUGGAGUGGAUUUCCUAUGGAAGAUAUUUGAUUUUCUAACAAGAAAUUUACGCCAGGUUACUUGAUAAAACGAAAGAUGGAGCUUGUGGACAGAAUAUACAUAGAAGGAAUGAUAAAAAUUUGUAUUUACUAGGUUGUUGAUUUAUGUUGAUAAACUUAGAAACUUGGAAUCCUAAGUGAUUAAUAAAACACUAUUUUUUCGAUCAAAA